GACAGAGGUGCCAAGCGUUAGGCGGAAUCACUGGGCUUAAAGCGUGUGUAGGCGGAAUGGUAAGUACCUUGUGAAAUCCCACAGCUCAACUGUGGAACUGCUCGGUAUACUGCUUUUCUUGAGCCACUUAGGGGCUGUCGGAACAAACGGUGGAGCGGUGAAAUGCGUAGAUAUCGGGAGGAACACCAGUAGCGAAGGCGGCACUCUGGGCCGGCAUUGACGCUGAGGCGCGAAAGCGUGGGGAGCGAACAGG
rnacentral:rRNA from 1 species